rnacentral:rRNA from 1 species
AGUGAACGCUGGCGGUAGGCCUAACACAUGCAAGUCGAACGGCAGCACAGAGGAGCUUGCUCCUUGGGUGGCGAGUGGCGGACGGGUGAGGAAUACAUCGGAAUCUACUCUGUCGUGGGGGAUAACGUAGGGAAACUUACGCUAAUACCGCAUACGACCUACGGGUGAAAGCAGGGGACCUUCGGGCCUUGCGCGAUUGAAUGAGCCGAUGUCGGAUUAGCUAGUUGGCGGGGUAAAGGCCCACCAAGGCGACGAGCCGUAGCUGGUCUGAGAGGAUGAUCAGCCACACUGGACAUGAGACACGGUCCAGACUCCUACGGGAGGCAGCAGUGGGGAAUAUUGGACAAUGGGCGCAAGCCUGAUCCAGCCAUACCGCGUGGGUGAAGAAGGCCUUCGGGUUGUAAAGCCCUUUUGUUGGGAAAGAAAUCCAGCUGGCUAAUACCCGGUUGGGAUGACGGUACCCAAAGAAUAAGCACCGGCUAACUUCGUGCCAGCCGCCGCGGUAA